rnacentral:rRNA from 1 species
GAUGAACGCUGGCGGCGUGCCUAAUACAUGCAAGUCGAACGAAGCGAUUUUUAUGAAGUUUUCGGAUGGAAUAGAGAUUGACUGAGUGGCGGACGGGUGAGUAACGCGUGGGUAACCUGCCUCACACUGGGGGACAACAGUUAGAAAUGACUGCUAAUACCGCAUAAGCGCACGGUACCGCAUGGUACAGUGUGAAAAACUCUGGUGGUGUGAGAUGGACCCGCGUCUGAUUAGAUAGUGGUGGGUAACGCCUACCAAGUCAACGAUCAGUAGCCGACCUGAGAGGGUGACCGGGCCACAUUGGGACUGAGACACGGCCCAAACUCCUACGGGAGGCAGCAGUGGGAAUAUUGCACAAUGGGGGAAACCCUGAUGCAGCGACGCCGCGUGAGUGAAG